CAGGUUUCAGACGUUUCAAGAGGACCGUGUCUAAACUUCUGUAAGAAAAGUUUGUUUAUCUCGUUUGUCGUCGAAACACAAUACUUUCUUGCGAAUAUUCUCAACGUGUAAAUCGAAUGAAAAUUGAGUAGAGCAAACGCCAACCUGAUCCGACUUGACACACACUGUUUGGACAUAUCUGGGCUUUGGAUGCGAGCUUUGAUUUUGAAAAUGAGGAGCGUUGUGGCUGAGCCACGGGUUUAGCCGCGCCAUGCGUCUGGUCGCGGCCGACAAGGAGACAAGCGCCACUGCGAGG
rnacentral:lncRNA from 1 species